CAGCCGCCGCGGGAAUACGUAGGUGGCAAGCGUUGUCUGGAAUUAUUGGGCGUAAAGGGCUCGCAGGCGGUUUCUUAAGUCUGAUGUGAAAGCCCCCGGCUCAACCGGGGAGGGUCAUUGGAAACUGGGAAACUUGAGUGCAGAAGAGGAGAGUGGAAUUCCACGUGUAGCGGUGAAAUGCGUAGAGAUGUGGAGGAACACCAGUGGCGAAGGCGACUCUCUGGUCUGUAACUGACGCUGAGGAGCGAAAGCGUGGGGAGCGAACAGGAUUAGAUACCCCAGUAGUCCCUGUCUCUUAUAC
rnacentral:rRNA from 1 species